CGCACCCUUUGCAGCAAAGAGGAGCCUGGCCCCUCCUCUUCCAGGGCGGAACCUCGGAUUUGAACGGCGGGCAGAAGCCCUUUAGCAGACGGGCAGAGGGACUUUGGCCUUAUGAGAGCCCCUGUUUCCCCUUUGUUUUUCCCCUUUGCACCCAAUAAAACCCUCCUUUACUCACCCUUUAAGCGGUCUGCGAGCCUGAAUUUUUGUGGCCGUGGGGCGGACAAGAACCCCGUCUUUAGCUGAACUAAGGCCAUCAGAUUCCAAACAGUCAUGCAACCAGAGCCUUUGAUGAUGGCCCCUUCUACUGUGAACCCUUGGAUAGGCUUCUGAGGGAGCUCUGAGUGCUGUUUCCCCAAAACAGUGCCUCUGUCAGCAGGAAGCAGUUAAGAUCUGUCUUUGUCCUUAUCCUUAAUCUAACGGCAGUUACAUUUAGAGGAGGGAAUGAGACAACCAGGUGGGAGGGGGUCCCUGGAGAAACUCUAACCCACCUGCCCACUGUUGUGGUGCCUCAGGAAGUUCAUGCCCUUCGCAGCAAGGAGGAGCCUGGCCCCACUGUUUCCUAGGUAGAACCUGGGAUUUGAAUGGCGGGCAGGAAGCGCUCUAGCUGAGGGACUCUGGCCUUGCAAGAGUCCCUGUUUUCCCUUUUUAUUCCCCUUUUCACCCAAUAAAACCGUGCUUUCCUCACCCUUUAAACCAUCUGUGAGCCUAAAUUUUCGUGGCCGUGGGAUGGACAAGAACUCCUUCUUUAGCUGAACUGAGGAAAAUUCCUGCAACAAUUUGAUCAUGAGU
rnacentral:lncRNA from 1 species